rnacentral:rRNA from 1 species
AACGAACGCUGGCGGCAUGCCUAACACAUGCAAGUCGAACGAGACCUUCGGGUCUAGUGGCGCACGGGUGCGUAACGCGUGGGAACCUGCACUUAGGUUCGGAAUAACUCCCCGACAGGGGUGCUAAUACCGGAUAAUGUCUUCGGACCAAAGAUUUAUCGCCUUUGGAUGGGCCCGCGUGGGAUUAGCUAGUUGGUAGGGUAAAAGCCUACCAAGGCGACGAUCCAUAGCUGGUCUGAGAGGAUGAUCAGCCACACUGGGACUGAGACACGGCCCAGACUCCUACGGGAGGCAGCAGUGGGGAAUAGUGGACAAUGGGCGAAAGCCUGAUCCAGCAAGGCCGCGUGAGUGAUGAAGGCCUUAGGGUUGUAAAGCUCUUUUACCCGGGAUGAUAAUGACAGUACCGGGAGAAUAAGCUCCGGCUAACUCCGUG